GAUGAACGCUGGCGGCGUGCCUAAUACAUGCAAGUCGAGCGAAUGGAUUAAGAGCUUGCUCUUAUGAAGUUAGCGGCGGACGGGUGAGUAACACGUGGGUAACCUGCCCAUAAGACUGGGAUAACUCCGGGAAACCGGGGCUAAUACCGGAUAACAUUUUGAACCGCAUGGUUCGAAAUUGAAAGGCGGCUUCGGCUGUCACUUAUGGAUGGACCCGCGUCGCAUUAGCUAGUGGGUGAGGUAACGGCUCACCAAGGCAACGAUGCGUAGCCGACCUGAGAGGUUGAUCGGCCACACUGGGACUGAGACACGGCCCAGACUCCUACGGGAGGCAGCAGUAGGGAAUCUUCCGCAAUGGACGAAAGUCUGACGGAGCAACGCCGCGUGAGUGAUGAAGGCUUUCGGGUCGUAAAACUCUGUUGUUAGGGAAGAACAAGUGCUAGUUGAAUAAGCUGGCACCUUGACGGUACCUAACCAGAAAGCCACGGCUAACUACGUGCCAGCCGCCGCGGUAA
rnacentral:rRNA from 1 species